GUGCUCACUUUGGUGGCACAUAUACUAAAAUUGGAAUGAUACAGGGAAGAUUAGCAGGGCCUCUGCACAAGGAUGACAUGCAAAUUUGUGAAGCAUUCCAUAUUUUU
ensembl:snRNA U6 U6 spliceosomal RNA